rnacentral:misc_RNA from 1 species
GGAUCAUUACUGAGUACUACACUCUCUACCCUUUGUGAACUAUUAUACCUGUUGCUUCGGCGGCGCCCGCAAGGGUGCCCGCCGGUCUCAUCAGAAUCUCUGUUUUCGAACCCGACGAUACUUCUGAGUGUUCUUAGCGAACUGUCAAAACUUUUAACAACGGAUCUCUUGGCUCCAGCAUCGAUGAAGAACGCAGCGAAACGCGAUAUGUAAUGUGAAUUGCAGAAUUCAGUGAAUCAUCGAAUCUUUGAACGCACAUGGCGCCUUCCAGUAUCCUGGGAGGCAUGCCUGUCCGAGCGUCGUUUCAACCCUCGAGCCCCUGUGGCCCGGCGUUGGGGAUCUGCCACGGCAGGCCCCUAAAACCAGUGGCGGACCCGAAGGCCCUCUCCUUUGCGCAGUAGCAUCAGCCUCGCAUUGGGAUCCCUCGGCGUCCUGCCUCUAAACCCCCCACAAGUCCGCUCCGGCGGCACCAAGGUUGACCUCGGAUCAGGUAGGAAUA